UCUGUCCGAGCGUCUGCCAACCACUAGUCCUCGCCGCGUGCGGGGAGAUUGGGGAACUGCAGCAUGGCCGGUGGCGAUGCUGCACUCCCUGAAGAAUCGACGACCGGUGUGGUCGCCCGCCGUACAAGUCGGUCGGUGACAACGGUGCACAGUGUUGUCACGCCGUGCUUGUGUCGGGCGGGAGGCAGUGCAGGUCGCGUGCAAUCAGGUAUGCCAAUCUAGACCUCGGAUCAGGCCAGGCUACCCGCUGAAUUUAAGCAUAUCAAUAAGCGGAGGAAAAGAAACUAACAAGGAUUCCCUUAGUAACGGCGAGCGAAGCGGGAAUAGCUCAAAUUUGAAAUCUCCAGUGCUUG
rnacentral:rRNA from 1 species